rnacentral:rRNA from 1 species
GGGGGGUGCAAGCGUUGUUCGGAUUUAUUGGGCGUAAAGCGCGUGUAGGCGGUUUUAUAAGUCUGAUGUGAAAGCCCUGGGCUCAACCCGGGAAGUGCAUUGGAUACUGUAAGACUUGAAUACGGGAGAGGGCAGUGGAAUUCCUAGUGUAGGAGUGAAAUCCGUAGAUAUUAGGAGGAACACCGGUGGCGAAGGCGGCUGCCUGGACCGAUAUUGACGCUGAGACGCGAAAGCGUGGGUAGCAAACAGGAUUAGAUACCCUGGUAGUCCACGCCGUAAACGAUGAGAACUAGGUGUUGCGGGUAUUGACCCCUGCAGUGCCGUAGCUAACGCAUUAAGUUCUCCGCCUGGGAAGUACGGUCGCAAGACUA